rnacentral:rRNA from 1 species
AGAAUCAACGCUGGCGGCGUGCCUAACACAUGCAAGUCGCACGAGAAAGGGGAGCAAUCCCUGAGUACAGUGGCGCACGGGUGAGCAACACGUGAAUAAUCUACCUCCGAGUGGGGAAUAACUGAGAGAAAUCUUAGCUAAUACCGCAUAACACUUACGAGUCAAAGCAGCAAUGCGCUUGGAGAGGAGUUCGCGGCCGAUUAGUUAGUUGGCGGGGUAAUGGCCCACCAAGACGAUGAUCGGUA